UGCAAUAUCACAUGAGAAUGUCUUGAUUACAUCACAUGGAGCUUGGAAGCUUGGUGGGUUUGGUUUUUCUAUCUCAAAAGAUCAUGCCUCGAGUG